UAGGAUUGCAACGAUUGCGUAGUGGGGCUGCUAACUUCAUUAUAAGUGUUUAAUCAAACUUUUUCCUAU
rnacentral:tRNA from 1 species